CUUGCUUUCACAUUGGUUUGGAAAUUCUUUGAACAAUCUCAAACAUUUGUGUGGCUUGGAAUUUUUUCCUGAAAGACUUGGCUUGGCCAUCUUGAAGAAAGCUAAUCUACAUAGUUACCCCAGGGCAAAUCCUCCAGAAAGACUUGAGAGGAGACCCACCUACAGGAGUGAUUUAAGUCUUCAGAGAAUCAGCUGUGGUUCAGAGGGUAGCAUUCUUGCCUUCCAAGUCAGAAGAUGGUGAAUCAAAUUAAAAUGGCUGACAUUGCAAAAGAAAAAUCAACAUUGAGGAAUGAUUUUUAAUGGCCCUAAAAAUGUUUGAAAUGGAAGUACAUUUAAGGAUAAGAAAACAGCAGUCAACAAGGAUGCAGAAUGGGAAGAUUCAGCUUGAUGGAACCUCGUAUCUGGGGAUUUGGCUAACGAACAGACUUCCUAAGAUGUACAACACUCUGUGAGAAACACAUUCUCUUUGCUACUGGGUGAUCCCUUAAUUUGUAACAGUGACCAGCAAUUCUAGAUCCUCAGGUAAAAGAAAACUCCGUCUCCACAUCCACUCUGUCAAGACUGUUAAGAUCUUAUACAUU